CAUGUAGGGGACGAGCGUUGUCCGGAUUCAUUGGGCGUAAAGAGCUCGUAGGCGGUUUGUUGCGUCGGCUGUGAAAUCCCGAGGCUCAACCUCGGGUCUGCAGUCGAUACGAGCAAACUAGAGUGUUGCAGGGGAGACUGGAAUUCCUGGUGUAGCGGUGAAAUGCGCAGAUAUCAGGAGGAACACCGGUGGCGAAGGCGGGUCUCUGGGCAACAACUGACGCUGAGGAGCGAAAGCGUGGGGAGCGAACAGG
rnacentral:rRNA from 1 species